CUGUGAGCCAAUCAUCAGCCGGCAGCUGGAAGUUUGCUGGCAGCUGGAAGUUUGCUGGGGCCCCUUCAGCAACAGAGAAUGGCUUCCCACAAGGUAUGUUUCCAAUAACAGUUUAAUUUUCUGAGCCUUUAUGAUGUUAAUUGGUCUCAUUGAUUUAUGUGGUACUGUUGGGGCUCCCAUGGAUCCUAGCUAUUGCUGACUGAGGGUGUGGAAGACAUUUUCCUUGAGCAGGAUAUCUCCUAGUGGGGAAGGGGAGACUCAGACUCAUGGGGAUGAAGAGGCUUCCUAGGCUAGGUGGCUGUGGCUUGGUCCCUUUUGACAGUUCUGCCUCUUCACAUAUCUUUUGUUAAAGGGAGGGAGUCUCAUGUGUAUGAAAUUAAAAAAGCUUCUGUUCCUUUCCCUUGAUGGGGCUGGGUCUCUUUUGCCAAUCCUGUCCAUUCACCUUGGAAUCUCUCACUGAGGUUGGGGAAAGUCUCUACCCCAGCAUGGAAGGCAGGUAUCUGUCUUGGCUGCUUACUAUGGAUAAAUCCCAGGCUAAUCCUCUUGGCCAAUUUUGUCUUGUUUCUCUGAUGUUGUAAGAAGGAUUUCCAUUCAGGCAACUUUCUAUUGAUAUUAUGGGGAUUGGAAAGCCCUGGAUCUGAGUAACUUUCUUCUGCUGGGAUAUAAGACACCCUACUAUGCUAUUCUUCUAUCCCUGGACUCCAAACCAGUUUGCCUUCUUCUUAACACGUUUUUAAAUUGGUGUAUUAUAAUUAUACAUGAUAGUGGGAUUCAUUAUGCCAUAUGUGUACAUACACAUAACAUAAUUUGAUCAGUCUCAUUCCUCAUUGCCAUCCCUUCCCACCUUUUCCUUCCCUGGAUCCAUUUGCUCUACUCUACUUAUUAUUAUUUUAAUUAGUGUGCUAUAAUUAUGUUAUCUAUAAGUGAGGAAUUCAUUGUGGUAUAUUCAUACAUGGACACAGCAUAAUUUGGUAGAUUUUAUUCCCCAGUAUUUCCCUGUUCCCUUUUUAAUACUUUUUAGAAUUCUCUUUUGGUUGUUUCUUGCAUUAUUUAAUGGGUUUGUUGUUUGCAGGGAGGAUUGGGGAGAAAUCGAUCUGUAUAAUUUUGUUCAGACUGGACCAGAAAUCACUUGUUUCUGUACAUCUUAAUAGCAAUCAUCAUUGACUUUUCUCUCCAAUCCUGUAGUUUUUGCUCUGGGAAGCAGAUGGCUGAUUCUCCUAUUUAUUCUAACAGGGUUAAAGCUCAAAAAUGGCACUGGAAAUGAACAUCUUAAAUCUGUUUCUCCAUCAGAAAUACAAGCACCAGGAUGCAAAGUAUCAAAGAAGACCAGAGUGAAAGUUGUCCAGAUAACAAUGGGCAAGGAAAAUCAUGAUGAUAUAUACAGGGUACAGAAACAGGGUCGAGCUUUACCAAGGAAGAAAAGAAAGAAACUUUCAACUUGCAAACAAGAGCUUCCAAAACAUAUGGAUCUUCACAGGAAAGGAUACACAGGAGAGAAACCUUUUAAAUGUCAGGAAUGUGGGAAAAGCUUCAGAGUUAGCUCUGAUCUUAUUAGGCACCAGAGAAUUCACACUGAAGAGAAGCCCUAUAAAUGUCAACAAUGUGAUAGGAGGUUUAGAUGGAGUUCAGAUCUCAAUAAGCACUUCAUGGCACAUCAAGGAAUAAAACCAUAUAGAUGUUCAUGGUGUGGGAAAAGCUUCAGUCACAACACAAAUCUACACACACACCAACGAAUUCACACAGGAGAGAAGCCUUUUAAGUGUCAAGAAUGUGGAAAAAGAUUUAAUCAGAACUCUCACCUUAUUAAACACCAGAGAACUCACACAGGUGAGCAGCCUUAUACUUGUAGCAUGUGCAGGAGAAACUUUAGCAGACGUUCCAGCCUUCUUAGACACCAAAAACUCCAUAGGAGUAGUGAAGCAUGUUCAGUGUCUCCAGUCUGAAAAAAAGUGACUAUAUGGAAUAACAGAAAUGAUAAAGGAAUACAAAAUUAUGAGACAUCCAAUGAUAGGAAACUGAUUAUCAACAGAAAGUUUGGGAGAGGUUUAUGUUCUGCAUCACAGAAAGGAAUCUAAGCUAUCUCUAUUAUUCAGCAUUGUAUCUUCAGUGCCUAGCACAAGACUGGUACAUAAUGAGUACAUUAUAAAUAAAAGAUUGAAAAUAUAGGUAUCAGAUACAUCAAUAGCUAUACAUUUAUCUAAUUAUUCAGAGCUUAUUCACUCUCAAUGACAAAGUCUUUAGGUAUCAAGUGUUCAGCAAAUGUAUGCUGGUCACAAGUCCUACUGUCAUUCUUCAUUCUUUCUCAGGAGAAAUGGAAAAUAAGAGUAUUCUAGGCCUCCUGAAGGUAACUCAGAGAGGAAUUCUGAACUAUGGAUAGUUUAUAGUUGUGAUUCUGUCUCCAUGGACAACCAAGCCUAGGGUUCAGGAGAACUUCAAUAGUUUUUUAUUUUAAGGAGAACUUUGUAACAGCAAGAGAGGAUUCAGUGCUUGUCCUGGGUAAAGUGCUUCUGUUCUAAUUGUCUUUUUCCAGAGUCUCCACCACUGCAAUGUCUUUUGUUAUUGAAUUCCAAGCAACAAGGAAAGGCCUGAAGGCCAAAACAGACCUAGGGUCCUUACAAGCACUUGAACUCUACCUUUGCCUUUCAACACAGUCAUAUAGACUGAAGUGAUGAUAGAGGCAUCCUGGGCCCUCAUCCAAAUAUCUGUCUAUUUGUAUAAAGAAUAGAGCAGUGGUUAAUUGAUUUUUUUGGUUUUGAUCAUGUACUCUGGAGGUUUUCAAGUCAGUGCCAUAUUGUUCUAGGGCCUAAUUGAAGUUUCAUUUUUAUAGCUUACGCAGCCUUAACUCUAUACACUAGAAUGCUCUACAGGAAGGUCUGAGCAUUAUUUUACUGAUAAUGGCAAGGAGAGUCUGUAGCCUCUCUACCUUGGUGCACAUCUGACACCAGGAGGGAACAUCCAGAAAUAUCCAAGAAAAGUAAGGUGUGUGGCUUAGAGUUAUGGUACUAGUCAGAGCCAGGCUAGAUGCAAACUGUUUUCUGAUGUAAUUUUUCCUUUUUCUCCACUGGUUUAAGUGAUUAUCUCAUAACGGAAUAUAAUGUGAAGUGUUGAGAGCCACAGCCUGAGGGGCCCCAGCAAACUUCCAGCUGCCAGCAAACUUCCAGCUGCCGGCUGAUGAUUGGCUCACAGCGGCCCCAGCAACAUCUAGCUGAUUGGCUCCUCGGCCCCAGCAACAUCUAGCUGAUUGGCUCCUCGGCCCCAGCAACAUCUAGCUGAUUGGCUCCUCGGCCCCAGCAACAUCUAGCUGAUUGGCUCCUCUGCGGUGAUGCUCAUUGGACUGUUUCCCUGCCCUUUCAGACCACGGAGCUGCUCAUUGGGGGACUUUUUUGGCUCCGCCCACGUGACCCAGCCAAUCGGCCUCAAGAGCAGGAGGAUUGUGGGAGGUGGAGAGAAGCUUGGGUGGGAGAGAGAGGCUUGGGGAAAGCCGGUGGUGGCAGUUGAGGCUCUGAGGGUUUUUCCUGAGAGACUAUUUUGUUUGUCGUGUGUGGUUCUAAAAAUAAAGUUAGUUUCUUUUGACAAGUGGCUCCUGAUUGUGCCCAGCCAGACUGCGGCAGUGAAGGCUGAGGAUAUAGAUGAGUAAGUAGUAGAGAGUUGCCUAGUAUGCACAAGGCCCUGGAUUUAAUAUCCAGUACUUCCCCCCACAAAAUAACAAAAAAGAAAAUGUGAUAUCAAAGGAAAUGGAAUACAUGGAUUUUUAUGUGUGUCAGAGCCUGGUUUGUGAUGUUGGCCAAGGCUUCAGUUUAUUUAGUAUUUCUCCCCUUCUCCAGUACUGGGGAUUGGACACAGGGACAGUAUACCACUGGGGUACAUCCACAGUACUUUCUGUUUUCUUCUUGAGACAUCAUCCCACUAAGUUACCCACACUGGCCUCAAACUUGGCACUCUACCACUGAGCUACAUCCCCAGCCCUCCACUCUCUGUGUGAAUUUAUGUCUGCAUCCUGGAUAGCUGUUAUCACAUCACCAUUCAAAGGACUGGGUCACACUAAGUUGCCCAGACUGGCCUCCUGCCUUAGCAUCCUGUGUUUUGUUUGCCACCAUGUCCAACCUGUAUUUAGAAUUUCAUGCAGUUUUACUUUCUAAUAAAAAUGAAAUGUUUCAUAUGAAAUUUAAGCAUUAAAAAAAAGCUCCUUUUAUAUCAAACUACCCAGAAAUGGCCAACAUUGACUUCUUUGAAAUAGAUGCUUUCACAUUUUUUUCCUCCAAGAGACCUUUCUGAGUCUUUUUGCAGAUUAC
rnacentral:lncRNA from 1 species